AAGUGAAGUACGGUUAAGGAGGCGGUGUGAAGUGUCAAAGCUAUGAAAUGUAGAACUGCAUUAGCCUUGGCUAAUUCCACGUCAUAUAUUCUUGCCACUACACCACAGCUACCCACCAUUUUGGGGAUGGGAAACUGAUAGCUGGGAAUGGGAAUAAUCCACAUGAGAGUUGCUCCUUCUGCCUGGGCCUGGGAAUGAGAAGACCUGUGGAGCUGAGCUACUGCUUACCCACAACCUGCAUAUACAUAAAUCAGAAGCCAGCACUGGUUGUUGUGAGUCGCUUAGAUUUUGGGCUUGAUGAAGAUGACCUUAGGCACAGUGACCCUGAAGGCCACAUGUUAAAGACAGUGGAGCCACAGGAUGGAAGGAAGCUGGUUCCCUGAAUCAUCACGUGGCAGAGAGCGGACCACUAAUCAGGAUCAUGUGUUUCAGAUUUCACUUGACCAAUAAAUCAAUUUCAAUUUUGUUACACUGCUAAAAUGGGUUUAUUUUUUAUAGUAGCUACUGUUUUCCUCAUCAAUACAUCAUGUACAAAGGUUUGGACUUCACUCCCAUCAGGAAUGGGAAGUUAGUCACUGAAGAUUUUUUGAAAAAGGGGAAUAAUACUGUGAAGACAGGUGGAAGUUACAGUUAUUGGGAUCAAAGAAUAUUUCUGAGUGAGAGUGGGAGAUUUGGGGACUGUUGUUUUUUUUUUAAGAAUAUAGUUUAACUCGUCUGGGGAAGGGAGAUGACUGCCAUGAUUGUCGAAGGGCUCCGUAGAACUUGGGAAGGAGCUGCUGAAAAGUGAAUCCAUUUCCCUGAAAUGUUGUCUCUUUUCUCUUUUGCAAAAGUCCUAAUUCUGGUAUUGCCUCAUGUAGUUCGGUGCCCACCACAUAAUAAAUGUUUAAUGGAAGCUGGCCCUGGACUCUGGGAAUGCUUUGAGGAGCUACCACUAGUUGAGUGCCUACUAUGUGAGAGGUGCUCUUUCACCCAUUGAAUCAUCACAAUAACUGUGCAAGGUGCUAUCCAGAUUUUACAGAUGAAGAGACUGAGACUUUAAGAGUAACUUACUGGCUGGGCGCGGUGGCUCAUGUCUAUAAUCUCAGCAUUUUGGGAGGCCAACGCCGG
rnacentral:lncRNA from 10 species